AAAAAGGCAUUUCAUACGGGAACAUACGUUUUCCUUUUCUUCUCUUCCUCAAAGACCAGCCAUCCUGAACCAAACACUUAAAGCAACCAUCGCUGU